UAAUGACUUCUUAAGGGUGAUACAGUAUCCUAGUCAACCAUCAUAGUCUGGAAGGCGGGUCUAAAAAUCCGUCGAAGGGCACAUCGAUGAAGUUCCUUGUUUUGGCUUCUGACGCCCAGUCGGGGGUCUUUUCUGGGAGUAAGGAGUAGGGGGCGAUCUGCAAUGGCAUGCAGGCGUAGACCCUCGCUCCGCGGAGACCGGCCCACAAGGCCGGGGAAACCUGCUGAAGGUCUGAAAAGGCCGAAAGCAGUGUAGCCUGCCUUGAGUGGGGUGGGGAGAUAGGCAGAUCAGGUUCGUUCCCUCUGAGCUCGAGGAAACGAAUCAUUGCUGCUUGAAACCCAUUCUGCAAAAGAGGCUAAGGGCUGUGAUGAUUGUUGAGGAAAACUCCUAGGCUGAAGCGCAGGCUGGGGAUUGCAGUGCGGACUAAGUGGUGAUCCAGUUUUGCAUGUGGUGACAAUGCUAAAGAGGUUUUAAAGGGAAACCGCUAUCAUGGCGACAGGUAGUAACCUUUUGGGAAAUCCUACUGGACCUAAGCCGUAAGUUUUAUCCAGCCGGCCAUCACCCUUCUUAAAUAAACA
rnacentral:sRNA from 1 species